CAGGGUGCUGUCGAAAGCGCGAAGAGCGAGAUGUGAAACGCUGGAAGGGGUUGGAGAGAAAGAAAGAAAGAAAAAAAAAACGAUUUACGCUCGUCUUUCGAGUUUCAUCGAGCGUCGACAGACACGAUCUCUCAUUAAUUACCCUUUCCUCCAUGCGUUACGUUAUAUUUAUUCGCGAACUUGUGGCGCGACCGUUUAAAACACGUCGAAUGGAAAGCUCGAGCAUCUUGUCUGAUAUUUCGCGGCAGGGAGGGCUCGGUUUUCGAUUCAUCACCAGGCCACUCGGCCUCGAGUGCUCGCGCGGGAGUAUCGUUGUUAAUUCUUCCGCGUAUAUAGGUGUAUACACGAAGCGUUGAUAAUCGGUUUCGCGAUUCCGCCAACGGGACCGAGAUCUGCUCCAGUUUCGCCUUUGUUCCGACCCGACCCGAGAUCGAGCGUUGUUCUAAGCGCGUUCUCUUCUCGUGUUGGCGUUUUUUUUGUGGAUAGGUUAGCGUGAAUGGAUCGAGAGACACAAAGCUGUGGGGAUGGUUGUUUCGAAACUGAAGUGUGGGGUUGAACGAUGAGGGAUGUGACUCGUCGAUAUUGAAAGCGACGCUUUUGGAGAUUGGAAGUUUGAUCGUGAAAAAACACGAGGAAAUAUUCAAAAACGGAAAUCAGACUGGAAGAUAGUGCGACAGCAGCGCCACAGUAUACGACCUAAUAUCCAUUUUCACAGGAGGAGCAUUAUUUAAAUAGCCAGACGUCGGAGGCGGCGGAGAUAUUUUUUUAAAUAAAAACUCGUUUAUUAGA